UGAUUGGAGCAGUGCUCUGAAGAGCUGACAGGCAGAGGAAGCUUUUGUUCCCCAUCCUGCAGCAGUCCGGGAGUACCAGGAAGGAGAUUUCUUUCAGAUCUGACUCAGCACGACCACACACCCCUGGAGCACUCCUGUUCAACUUCAGUCACUCACAUAUGAAGUCCUCAUAUCCUCACUGGAACAAAUGAGCGUGAGCUGUACCCUCUGAAGCCCCUCACCUUGCAGUGUACUGAAUAAGGACUGAAAGGUCAGAAGAAAGCAAAAAAGGUCGAGAUGAUUGCAGCUGCAGGAUAUACACCUUCCUGCUCUGGCCUUUGGCGCAGACAACCUGUGUUUAGUUAGUGCUUGCAAAUAAUGGAAUGAGCAUUUACAGAUGUUUUUGAAAAUAAGGUUUUGUAACUAACAAACAAUGAAAAAAGCAGUCUGUUGCAUCACUAAGAUUAAUGUGUACACUGAUAUGGUCAAUGCUCACAUACAUAAGAGGCCCACAGGAAGCCUGUCUGAAGAGUUCAUGAACAUGUUUCAAUGCACAAUUACCUCAGAGUUCCUCAGAGUAGGCAUCUGUACUCACCAGACUGGCAUCGAUACCUGGCAGUCACUUGUGGCACAUAUGGUGCUCCAUUUUACAGCUUCUGGAUUCCCACUGUAGGCAAACUGAAGCCAUCCUUAUACUGCAAGGUAAUAAGGAAAGAAAAUGCUGCCAUCUGAUCACCAACUCUACUAGCAAUAGAAGGUAAUUGCCCACAGGAACUUACUGUAAACCUAUGUUUGAAUUCUGGACAGAAAUAAGAAGAAAAUUUAAGCCAACAAGAAAAUGUUACACGUCCCUUGAGAGAGAAAUUGGUUAAAAGACAUCUGGGAGUAAACAUUUAAAUUUUCACUUGAGCUGACCUAUUUACUGUUACACUUUCUACUACUAUUUCAGUCAAUUACUGCAAUUAUUCAGUGAAAAACAGAUUCAUUAACUGUGUUCCAUAAAUAAAAUCAAGCUAAGCU
rnacentral:lncRNA from 7 species